CGCGUAGGCGGCCGAUCAAGUCGGAGGUGAAAUCCCUCGGCUCAACUGAGGAACUGCCUUCGAUACUGUUCGGCUUGAGUCCUGGAGAGGGUAGCGGAAUUCCCGGUGUAGCGGUGAAAUGCGUAGAGACCGGGAAGAACACCAGUGGCGAAGGCGGCUACCUGGACAGGUACUGACGCUGAAGCGCGAAAGCUAGGGGAGCAAACA
rnacentral:rRNA from 1 species